AAAUUAAACACUGCAACGAUCUACGACACACAAGUUAGCUUAGCGCCUCACUGCACUGAAAGGACAUACGUCAUUGUUUAAUUUUGUGGUGCAACA